rnacentral:rRNA from 1 species
CGGGACGGGUGAGUAAUGUCUGGGAAACUGCCUGAUGGAGGGGGAUAACUACUGGAAACGGUAGCUAAUACCGCAUAACGUCGCAAGACCAAAGAGGGGGACCUUCGGGCCUCUUGCCAUCGGAUGUGCCCAGAUGGGAUUAGCUAGUAGGUGGGGUAACGGCUCACCUAGGCAACGAUCCCUAGCUGGUCUGAGAGGAUGACCAGCCACACUGGAACUGAGACACGGUCCAG